GGCAGUUCUCAGGUGAGGCACCGCAUUAUCGGGCUCCCUCCUUUCUGGUUCUGGGGUGCGUCACCUGAGAAAUGCC
rfam:Myotis lucifugus cont2.5417, whole genome shotgun sequence.